GGCCCUAGCAACUGAAGCAUCCUAACGACGCCUGCAGCGUGGCCUGAGGCCCUCUUAGCCUCCAGCCCCCAGAGCCUGCGGGCAGACAGAAAUCUGAAAAAUGUUAGAAAGUCCAAAAUCCAGCAAGACCUCUGAACUAAGUCCCAAAGGUUCAAUAAAGAAACUUAAAAUUAAAGAACAAACCAAAGCUAAAGGAUCAGCCAAAGGCAAGCGAAAACAGCUUGGUAAAAAAGAUGAGGAAGUUGACAUAUCUAUGGCUAGCAUAGGCCAGCCAGAGAUCUUUCCAUUAGUUUUCACUCAAAAGACACAAGAAAUUUUAAAUUGUCGAAUUAAUGAAGAUGUCACAGAAGAAAAACCUUACAAACUUCUGAAAAAAGAGGACAUAAUUCAGGACAUGAAGACAAGAGCUGCAGUCUCCGAUUUCCACCCAGUCAAAAAAAUAGUCCUAGAAUAUCCAGGGGAAGAACUUCUGGUAGUUUUAGAUACAGAGUUCAAAUAUGGACAGAACUUUUAUCUUGUUGCAACUGAAGAGGCCAAGGAAAGCUUUUUAAAUCCUCCAGAGGCAAUGGAAGAAGAAGAAGGAGAGACUAAAGAAGGAACAACAGAGGAAUACGUUUAUAAGCCUCCUGUCCGCAAACCUUGGGUCUCCCUUGGCAGUGAAAAGGAAAUUGAAGAAGAAUCAGUUAUUGAAUCUCUUAAAAAGAUUAAAUAUAUGAUUUCUCGAGUGCGCAGAGAGUUUGGUUCAAAGGUCAAAUUUACUGAUAGAAAUGCUUCAAGUGUAAAAGAUGGCUACAUUGAAUGUACAUCAUAUCAGGAUAAAAAUUUCAGCAUUAAGAAACUUGAAAAAGAUGUUGGUACACAAGUCGUUCCAAAAGUAAGGGAAAUGAGUACUCAAACAAAGUGGACCUAUCCAAGAAAUGCAGCCACACAGUAUUUUCCGAGAGAGUUCUCAGAUGAAGAAAAAGAGCUGUGUUUGGCAUCUGAGGAUCUGAAAGAAUUUAUUAUCUCAGUGCUUUUAAGAGUGGAAAUAGCAUUGCAGCAAAAUGAAAUAAUGAAUGCCUUUUUUGAUGACUGGAAAGCAUUAGCAGAAGAUGAAAGUGCCUUUGGUGGCAAGUCAGAUGCUUACCUUAAGGAAUACCAAUCGUUUACAGACCUGCACUAUCUGAAGCACAGAACAGUUAGCUGUGUUUGCUGGCACCCAACCAUUUAUGGGAUUAUAGCAGUGUCAGUAACAGAGCGGCUUUCUUAUGAAGAACGCAUUGCCCAAUCGGGUAAACUGUUGUUGCGGAAGUCACCAAUUCUUUUUUGGAGUUUCUCUGACCCUAUUCACCCUCAGUUAAUGCUGGAGUGCCCUGAAGAUAUCUACUGCUUUGAGUUCUGUCCAUCUGAUCCCAAUAUCAUUGCUGGAGGCUGUAUGAAUGGACAGGUUGUACUGUGGGACAUUUCUGAGUAUGAAGUAAAGCUGCAGAAUGCUAAAACUGGUGCUGGUGGAAGCAAGAAUGCUGCUGUUAAUAUGCCAACAUUUAUACAAGCACAACAAAGUGAUAAGGAACCACAUUUUGUGAGAUAUUGUGCAGUCUCUUCCAUAGAAUAUGGCCAUAAAACAGUAAUAACAGAUAUACACUGGCUACCAGACUAUUUUGAGGUUAACAGAAUGGGCAUUGCUUUUGAAAACAGAACUGGAGUUUGUGUGCAGCUUGUAACCUGCUCUCCUGAUUGCUCCAUAUUAUUUUGGGAUCUUCGAGCCCCCAAAGCUACUAUCCAGAGUUCAUUCGAGAAAGUAAAAGAAGAGAAGGCUAUCGAGGCUCCCCCUGAUGUACCGACUACUUUUAAACAUCUCAAUCUCUCCUGGAGACCUCUCAUUAAGGCAAACCUAUCCAAGAGCGACACAAAUGGAGACUAUAGUCCUACCAAAAUUAGCCUAGUGGAAGAACAUUUCCAUUACAAAAUGCAAGAUAAGAUGCAAUACCAAAUCAAACCAGAAAUAUUUGGAGAUGAAAAUCCUUAUAAGCAGUUAAAGGUCCCUUCAGCCAAAGCUCUUAAGAUACUGGAGAAUAUCCCCACCAACUUUUUUGUUGGAACUGAAGAUGGUGAAGUUAUUUAUUCUGACUGGAAGAUGGAAAGAGAGAGUGACUCAGGAAGACUGAUUAGUCAGAAACCAGCUAACAAAUACAUUAUCCAUGAUGGAAUUGUCCACACUAUACAAAGAUCUCCAUUUUUCAAAGACAUCAUUCUUAGUGUUGGAGGCUGGAAUUUUGCCAUAUGGAAAGAAGGUGUUACAAGUGGCCCAAUCCUUCAAUCAUGCUGCUCAUCAAAAAGAUAUACUGUAGGACAUUGGUCCUUAUCGAGAGCAGGAGUUUUCUUCAUUGGUAGAGAAGAUGGAAAUAUUGACAUUUGGGACCUACUGGAGAAAACACAUGAGCCAUCCCAGACCCAGAACAUCUCUAUAUCAAUGAUCACCUGCAUCAAACCCUGGAUCGUCUCUUCAAAGCAACACUUUUUAGCUAUAUCUGAUAACUUUGGAACACUGCAUAUUUUAGAAAUCUCUUGGACAUUAAGUCACCCUUCCAGUAACGAGCGUGCCAGUGUUCUUCAUUACUUUGAGAGAGAGGUCAAACAUCUGGAUUAUUUUGAACAGCGUCAAGAAUUCCGAGCCAAAGAAAGAAAGGAAUUGGAAUUGGAAACACAGAGGAAAAAGACAAGAAUGGCUGGUGGACAGAAAUCAAGAGAACAAAUGGAGGAGCAGAUGAAUAUAAAUUAUGUAGAUUUUCUGGAUGAAGAGAAGAAGAUCCUGACAGGACUUGGGCUAUUGAAAGCAACAGAUAGAUUUGCCUUGAACAGAACACAAUGAGCAUAUUGGCGAAUGUGUAUUUUUUUUUCAGGAUAGGUUAUUUUGCUUUCUUGGGAAACCUGUAUAUAUUUAAUUAGCAGCAUCUUUAGUAUGAGAACUGUAAAUAUAAAUCAUAUCAUACGAGGCAAAAUUAUCUCACUAGCUUUAUGAAGAUGUUUGCUCACCGCAGCAGGACUCUGAUGUCACAGCCGUAUAUCAGAGCCCAACACAGCUGCAUAAGAACAGCAAGAGUUCCUUCUUCACUAGAGAAUUCCCCAAACCAAAAUCCGGGACUGGUGUAAACCUGAUCUUUGGCAGAAAUUGAGUACAAACAUCACAGCACAGAUGAUGGAUGGUCUCCACACCGAUUGCAAUGGGCAACAUGGAAUAAUGGCAAUCGCUUGAAUUAGAGGGAUACCAGCAGAUUAAGUCAUAUAUGUAACAUAUUUCCUUCUAACUAAAAUUGAAAGAAUUGUUUACAUUCUAAUUACUUUUCAUGAUUUAGGCUUUGUAUUUUUGUUUUGUUUUAAUUUCUCUCAUUUUAGGCAAUGAAAAUAGAUUAUUCAGUUCCUCUUUUAUGUCUAGUCAGUUUCACUUACUGGCUCUAAUGCUUGUACUGGGAUGCCAACAUUGCAGGGCAAUUUCUUUAUUUUAAAGAAAAUUUCUAUUGGAAAAAGCCACAAUUUUUUUCAUUUGUCUUAGCUUUUGUAAAAGCUUAUUGUUAAUAGGCCUAAAAUUUGGACUAAGUUUCACCUGCCAGUAAAACCUUAAACAAUAACAUCCUUAUGCCUUUGCUUCAAGGAGGUAAUCAAAUUCUUAACCAAAAAAUCACAGAUCUAACCCCCGACCACCACCACCACCCCAAGUCUAGGAAAUUUCAGAACUCUGCAAACUGGAGCAUCUCUGCUUAAAAUAAUCAUUUUGUUCAUCGGAUUAUAAAAUGAUUCCUAAUUUAAGAUUAGUAAAUGUUUAACAAAUAGGAGACUGGACCCAUAAAAAUAUGUUGUUCCCCCAAGGAAACUGGGUUGUAUUAGAAAGAGCAGCUUUUACUGAGCACACAGUGAAUGUUGCUGUUUGUAUUUUCACUGAAAGGCAAUUAAUCCUGAGAGAUGAACCACGUGUUAGACAACAGCUUUAAUAUCCACAAGUGUAAAUGAGUAACAGCCUCAUUAAUAUUUAUGUUCAUCCUUUAUCUGAAGGGAUGACUCUUUACAUAAUGCAGCGUUCCUGCCUGUUGCUAGGUUUCCAAAGCCAGGUCAGAUACCAUGUAACUGAGUAGAACCUGUCAAGUGGAAAUUAAAUGUAUCAGAGAAGGACAGAUUAAACUCUAUACGGGUGAAUUCACUCUUUCCAUGACUCACUGAGCUGUUUUGAGGGUCACAGACUCCUGUCAAACAAGUGUCCAUAUGGUCGCAGUAGAAACUAGAACGCAAAAUAAAACUGACACAUGGGGCCUUUGCCAAAAGAAACUUCUGUAGACCAAUGCUACCUAACUACAGUGCACUACUUCAUCCGAACAAAGGCUAUUCUAAAAACCCUGGAACAAGAUAGCUAUGAGCUUCCUGUCCACAGAGAAAUACAGAGAUUACAAAUAGGUUUUAAGGAAAUGUAAAAACAUGCUGUAAACCCACAAGGGCUAGUGUCUCAAGGCCCCUCUCAUUAGGUAUAUUUACUUUUUGCUAAAGCUUCAGUCAGGCUUAAAGAAAGUACCAGUUGAGUACCACUAAACCUGGAUGUAAUUAUAGUGUGACAUUUAAAAAGGAAAACUGAGCACGUGUGUUUAGAAAUGAUUAUAAAAUUAUCAGCCUUUUAUUUUUAAAUUUGAAGUUUAAAUACUAUUACAUUAUGUGGCUCCUCUAUAUUAGGCAAUCUCUGUAUCAAAAUAAAAGUGAACUGUAAUAAUCACUUUCCUGACAUCUAUAAUGUUGUUUGCGCAGCUGGAGAUCAAAUGGAAGGGGAAUGCAGCGCCCUUUGUUAAAUCACCAUUUAACAAACAAAUUGAUGUGCACAGAUAUGGCAACUGUCCCACCACAAGCUAAAUUGAAAAGCUCUAUCCUCUGGUUGUGAGGCCUAUAUUUUAUUAGAGGAACAUACGAUUUUUCAGAUCAGCUUUCACAGAUCUUUAGCUAACUAGGACAGUCUACAAUAUAAUGAAGUCAAUAAAGUGAUCACUGAAUGUACCUGGAAAAUCCCCGUCAUGUUUGUCUCCUUUACUAAAAAGGAAAAAAAAAAAAAAAGAGAGAGGAAGUCACAGCUUCUCUUCCUUAAACCACUUUAAAAAAGCUCUAAAAGUUAUUCUUCGUGAUGGCAUCUACAUAUACCCAUGCUCCCCAGCACUUCAGAGGAACCACUGGAAAGCAGUGGGGGCUGGAUGUGUGCUCUUUCACGGGACCCAGUGUUUGGAGCAGAGAUUAAAAAAAAGGGAUCAUACCUUCCCACCUGCCUUAGUCACUUCCAUUCUGCCGCUGAUUCCUUCAGCAUGGACAAGACAGCACCAGUACAUAGUAACCCAGACCUCCUGGAUGUAAGAAAAAGCAGCUAUUACAAUGUUUGUGCUCCAGGACAUUCACUCACAGAAGGAAACAGAUUUCAAGGCCUGAUACUGCUUCCACUGAAACCAACAGCAAAAUUCCCACUGGAUUCAGUGAGAAAAGGAUCAGGACCACAUAGGGUAGUAUUGCUUUUGGUUUAUAGAUGAAAUAACUUGUCUAAGCUGUUUUAUUUGUUUAAAUUGUUAAAAAGAAUAUAUAUACACACAAGGCACUAGAGAUACAUUUUAUAGAGCGCUUGAUAGAAAUGAGUUUCCCUGUUAAAAAUCUUGCAGUUAUCUACAAACUAUCUAAAAUAACCCAAACAUGUUACUGAUACUACACAGGCAGCUCUGGAGUGGGAUCCACAAGUGUUAGGGCUUUGUCUACACUACAACCUCCUCCACAUCAGGAAAUUUAAUCACAACCAGGCUGUUGCCCCACCUGGUUACAGCUGUGCUUCCAAUUCUCUGUACAAAGUGGACCUUAAACUUAUUUAACACAUAAACAAGCAUUAUUCUGACCAACUGGAAAUUAAGGUUUCAGACUGGAUCUGAAACAUGGUUUAGGGCAAGUCUACACUAUAAAUUGGAACCAUGUUUUGUAGUCAGAUUACAGAACAACCAGAUUUUAAUCUGGUACCAUGUCAUAAUGGUAAUUAGAAACCGGAAUCAUCAGACUAGAGUUCCAUGUAGUCCAGUAUCCUAUAUCCAGUAUCAGCAGCCAGUACUAAAUCAGGGAACUGCAACAAUCUUCAUAAGGGACAUAAUGGUAUAACCUGCCUAUAAUGAAAGUUUCUUCUUAAACUUGUCAAUUAGUGGCUGGCUUUUAGCCUGAGCAUUAGGAUUACAUCCUGUAUACAUGUUUUAGCCUCUCUAUUGUAACUCUGGAUGUUCUGUUACCUGUCUACCUGUCUAAUCCAAUCCAAACCAAUCUUGCAGAGAGUUCCACAGCUUAAUUAUACAUAAGAAUAUUGUCAUGUAGACGGCAAACUCCAAGGGAUAGCCUACAGUCUUCCAGGAUCCUGGAAGAGUGGAAGAUGUACGGUACAUGUCAUGCUUCACUCAUGAUGUCAUAAAUAUAAAGGGAAGGGUAAACACCUUUAAAAUCCCUCCUGGCCAGAGGAAAAACCCUUUCACCUGUAAAGGGUUAAGAAGUUAGGAUAACCUCGCUGGCACCU